GUUAACCAUUCAUUGUAUAGUUUCACCCCCAGAUUCCUUACCAUCUUUGUUGCUCUUCUCCACACUUUAUCUAGAGUCUCAGCAUCUUUUUUUUUGUAUUGUGCCAAUCAGAACUGGAUGCUGUAUUCCAAGUGUGGCUUCCAUAGUGCAGUAUGGCAAGCUCUCAGCACUCUAUCUGCAAGUCCUCUGCAGCUAAGGUGGGCAAUCUCAAGCUCCUCCUUGUUUAGAAAAGCUUCAGAGGCCUGGCUGCCAAACUCCACUUCAUCAUCAUCCUUGAUACACAAAGAUAGGAUGGUGAUGAUGGGCCUUCCUCCUUGGAUCAUUGUGAAGAAAAGAAUCCAGUGAAGUGGUAAUAAAGGCUGACCUGAUUAUAUAAGGAAGUUACAGAGAAGAUGUGUUCAAUUUAUCAUAAGCAUCUGGAGUGCAAAGAAGAAAAGAGCAAGUUUACAUGAAAUUACUUGACCCCAAUAUUUUAGAGCUCUCUCUUCUUCAAACAUUUCGAAAGGACCAAGCCAAGGUUAAUGUUGGGGUCUGGUUACUACAAAAUUGCCUUUGGAGAUAAAAAGAGAAAAGAGUCUGUUGCGUUUGAAGUAGCCACCUCACAUCACAUCAUACCUCAUGGAUUUCAAAGAGUAAGUUUAGGGGAGAAAGCAAGCCUCAAUGUGAUGCUUUUAACAGGAAAAUGUUCCCAAAACCAAGAAUAGGCAAGAUUCAUAGAAGAAACAUUUCCAUAUGUUCCAAUGCUCAAGGAAUGGAAAUAGUGACCUCUAACUCUUGACUAAAAUAAAGUUGAAGUACACCA